CACUGGCCACAGAGUCGGCUGGUUGUCGGCCUCUUGAGGUGCCCAAUCGUAGCCUGGAGCUAAAAGCAACACAGUCCAUUCAUCAAAAGCGUGACCCUCUACAGUCAGGGACGAGAUGCUGUGGACUAAUGAACCUGGUACCUGUUGCACAUGCCAGCGAGCGAGAGGCGCACCCCCCCCACUCAUCCACAGAUCACAGAGGGAGCCGUGAUGACCCCAUCCCAGAGGACCCCGCUGUUUUGCCUGCAAGCGUGGUGGUGUGUUCCAUGCAGUGACAAAGUGAGUCAAAAGGCCGAUGUUCGCCGGCCGUCAGUGACACCUAGCUAGCUGCUAAGCUAGCGCGGAGAAAGGCAGCGCCGGUCAGUAAGAAGCUACUCCUACAGACCGCGACCACUUCCCUGAGGACAGCAGGAACUUCACUCGGUGACAGAAAACACUGUGAGUAAUGGCUUCCUGCGCGUCUUGCACCAUACUCACGGAGAGGUUGGCUCUGCUAGAGGGCCGUGUCCGCCAGUUAGAGCAGAGUAAUGUCGUAACUUUAGAUGUUGCGGACACAUCUGCUAGCGUUAGCUGUAGCGAGCUAACUAGCCCAGCUCGUAGCAGUCCUAAGCGGCCUACAAGCUACGGUGUACCGGUUGAGACGCAUAAUAGAUUUAGCUCUUUAGCUAGUCCUACACCCCAGUCUACCGGGCACCACACCUUAGUUAUAGGGGACUCCAUCACCCGAAACAUAAAGCUUAGCAAACCAGCCACAAUAAAGUGUAUCCCCGGGGCCAGAGCACCUGACAUUGAAGCUAAUCUUAGGGAGCUAACUCGCAACAGGCCUAGUAAACACGUACGACAGGCUAAUCGCACCACUAAUUAUGCGAAUAUAGUUGUACACGUUGGCUCCAAUGACACUAGAAUGAGACAGUCAGAGAUUACAAAGAGAAACAUAGCCAGGACUUGUGAUCUCGCCAGAAAGAUGUCCAGGCAUCGAGUAAUUGUCUCUGGCCCCCUGCCUGCGAGAGGCAAUGAUGAGAGAUAUAGCAGAUUAGUCUCGCUUAACAAGUGGUUGGCUAGCUACUGUAGGCAGCAGGGACUAACGUUUAUUGAUAACUGGCCCUCUUUCUGGGGCAAACCAGGCUUGCUGAUGAGAGACGGCCUUCACCCUAACCAGGAAGGCGCCAUCAUCCUGUCUAGAAACAUAGACUACUAUUUAAGUCUCACUUGACUGACUACACUAGAGCAAGCCCGGUCACAGGCAAUUACAAUGUCUGUUAGUCCGGGUGAGGAGUCAGUUAAGCUAGAACUAGCCAGCGCCAGGCUGGAUAAUCCAUGUACGCAUAGCAAUUCUCUUAGAAUAAUACACAAUUCACAUAAUGUUUUUUCUGCUGUGUCUGUGUCAGGGGUGGACAUGCAUUCUACUGAGGUGGCAAAUUAUGAUAUGUCCAGUCUAUUGCAGCACCAAGCAAACAAUCGGAAAAUUCCAGUCAUAUCAAUUCCUAGAUAUGGUCGAAACUAUUUAAAGUGCACUACGCAUAAUAAACGCAACAUUGUUAAUAUUGCCACUACGGAUAAUCUUAACAAAAACUCGUCAAAACAGCCCAAUACCUAUAAUAUGGGCUUUUUAAACAUAAGAUCAUUGUCUCCCAAGGCGUUAUUGGUUAAUGAGGUCAUUAGAGACAACAAUCUUAACGUCAUUGGUCUUAGCGAAACCUGGCUCAAACCGGACGAAUUUUUUGCGCUCAAUGAGGCAUCUCCUCCUAACUAUACGAAUGCGCAUGUUGCCCGCCCUCUUAAAAGGGGAGGGGGUGUCGCACUAAUAUACAAUGAAAAUUUCAACCUUACCCCUAACCUAAAUAAUAAAUAUAAAUCGUUUGAGGUGCUUACUAUGAGGUCUGUCACACCGCUACCUCUCGACCUGGCUGUUAUCUACCGCCCCCCUGGGCCCUAUUCGGACUUUAUCAGUGAAUUCUCAGAGUUCGUUGCUGAUCUAGUGACGCACGCCGACAAUAUAAUCAUAAUGGGGGACUUUAAUAUCCAUAUGAAUACCCCAUCGGACCCUCAGUGCGUGGCGCUCCAAACCAUAAUUGAUAGCUGUGGUCUUACACAAAUAAUACAUGAACCCACGCAUCGCAACGGUAAUACAAUAGAUCUAGUGCUUGUCAGGGGUGUCACCACCUCCAAAGUUAUGAUACUUCCAUAUACUAAAGUAAUGUCCGAUCAUUACCUUAUAAAAUUUGAAGUUUUGACUCUUUGUCAACAAGCUAAUAAUAAUAAUAACUGCUAUAGCGGCCUCAACAUUAAUGCUGCCACAACGAUGACUCUUGCUGACCUACUGCCUUCGGUAAUAGCACCAUUCCCAAAUUAUGUCGGCUCUAUUGAUAAACUCACUAACAACUUUGACGAUGCCUUGCGCGAAAUUAUUGAUAGUAUAGCACCGCUAAAGCAAAAAAGGGCCCCUAAAAGGCGCACCCCAUGGUUUACAGAAGAAAUUAGAGCUCAUAAAUUAUCAUGUAGAAAACUGGAACGCAAAUGGCGCGCGACUAAACUUGAGGUUUUCCAUCAAGCAUGGAGUGAUAGUUUAAUAACUUAUAAACGCAUGCUUACCUUAGCUAAAACUAAAUACUACUCAAAUCUCAUCCGCCUCAACAAAAACGAUCCUAAAUUUCUGUUUAGUACAGUAGCAUCGCUAACCCAACAAGGGACUCCUCCCAGUAGCUCCACCCACUCGGCAGAUGAUUUUAUGAAUUUCUUUAAUAAGAAAAUUGAACUCAUUAGAAAGGAGAUUAAAGACAACGCAUCCCAGCUACAACUGGGCUCUAUUAACACAAAUACGACUGUAUAUACGACGGACACUGCCCUCCAAAAUAGUCUCUCUAUUUUUGAUGAAAUAACAUUAGAGGAAUUAUUACAGCGUGUAAGUGGGAUAAAACAAACAACAUGUUUACUUGACCCACUUCCUGGGAAACUUAUCAAGGAACUGUUUGUAUUAUUAGGUCCAUCAGUGUUAAAUAUUAUAAACUUAUCACUUUCCUCCGGCACUGUUCCCCUAGCAUUCAAAAAAGCGGUUAUUCAUCCUCUGCUCAAAAGACCUAACCUCGAUCCUGACCUCAUGGUAAACUACCGACCGGUCUCCCACCUUCCGUUUAUUUCCAAAAUUCUCGAAAAAACUGUUGCACAGCAGCUAAAUGAACACUUAGUGACUAACAAUCUCUGUGAACCUUUUCAAUCCGGUUUCAGGGCAAAUCACUCUACGGAGACAGCCCUCGCAAAAAUGACUAAUGAUCUAUUGCUAACGAUGGAUUCUGAUGCGUCAUCUAUGUUGCUGCUUCUUGAUCUUAGCGCCGCUUUCGAUACCGUCGAUCAUAAUAUUUUAUUAGAGCGUAUCAAAACACGUAUUGGUAUGUCAGACUUAGCCUUGUCUUGGUUUAACUCUUAUCUUACUGACAGGAUGCAGUGCGUCUCCCAUAAUAAUGUGACCUCGGACUAUGUCAAGGUAACGUGCGGAGUUCCCCAGGGUUCGGUUCUUGGCCCUGCACUCUUUAGUAUUUACAUGCUGCCGCUGGGUGACAUCAUACGCAAGUACGGUGUUAGCUUUCACUGUUAUGCUGAUGACACUCAACUCUACAUGCCCCUAAAGCUGACCAACACGCCGGACUGUAGUCAGCUGGAGGCGUGUCUUAAUGAAAUUAAACAAUGGAUGUCCGCUAACUUUUUGCAACUCAACGCUAAGAAAACGGAAAUGCUGAUUAUCGGUCCUGCUAGACACCAACAUUUAUUUAAUAAUACCACCUUAACAUUUGACAACCAAACAAUUAAACAAGGAGACUCGGCAAAGAAUCUGGGUAUUAUCUUCGACCCAACUCUCUCGUUUGAGUCACACAUUAAGAGUGUUACUAAAACGGCCUUCUUUCAUCUCCGUAAUAUCGCUAAAAUUCGUUCCAUCUUGUCCACUAGCGACGCUGAGAUCAUUAUUCAUGCGUUCGUUACGUCUCGUCUCGAUUACUGUAACGUAUUAUUUUCGGGCCUCCCUAUGUCUAGCAUUAAAAGAUUACAGUUGGUACAAAAUGCGGCUGCAAGGCUUCUGACAAAAACAAGAAAGUUUGAUCAUAUUACGCCUAUACUGGCUCACUUGCACUGGCUUCCUGUGCACUUAAGAUGCGACUUUAAGGUUUUACUACUUACGUAUAAAAUAUUACACGGUUUAGCUCCAGCCUAUCUCGCCGAUUGUAUUGUACCAUAUGUCCCGACAAGAAAUCUGCGUUCAAAGAACUCCGGCUUAUUAGUGAUUCCCAGAGCCAAAAAAAAGUCUGCGGGCUAUAGAGCGUUUUCUAUUCGGGCUCCAGUACUCUGGAAUGCCCUCCCGGUAACAGUUAGAGAUGCUACCUCAGUAGAAGCAUUUAAGUCCCAUCUUAAAACUCAUUUGUAUAAUCUAGUCUUUAAAUAGACCCCCCCCUUUUUUUAGACCAGUUGAUCUGCCGUUUCUUUUCUUCUCUCCUCUUCUCCCCUGUCCCUUGCGAGGGGGAGUUGCAUAGGUCCGGUGGCCAUGGAUGAAGUGCUGGCUGUCCAGAGCCGGGACCCCGGGUGGACCACUAGCCUGUGCAUCGGUUGGGGACAUCUCUGCGCUGCUGACCCGUCUCCGCUCGGGAUGGUUUCCUGUUGGCCCCGCUGUGGACUGGACUCCCGCUGAUGUGUUGGAUCCACUGUGGACUGGACUUUCACAAUGUUAUGUCAGACCCACUCGACAUCCGUUGCUUUCGGUCUCCCCUAGAGGGGGGGGUUACCCACAUAUGCGGUCCUCUCCAAGGUUUCUCAUAGUCAUUCACCGACGUCCCACUGGGACAGGAAUACUUACGCAUGCUGGCAUUUGGCGGGAUCCUGGGAUGCAGAGAAGGCAGGCGACAUGCAAGCAGACGGUCCAAAAAGAGGAGCACAGGUGUGGCUACGGGUGAGCAGAAAUGUGACACAAAUAAGAAGUUCAGCUUUACAGGUGCCCUGCUGUAGAAGUGACAUCUACUACAACACGUAGUAUCAGUAGAGGUACGUGUACUCAGACCAGGCGGAGGAAGCUCCUCGUUGAUGUAAUGAUGGUGUUAACACUCACACUCCUUGUAGACCUGCUUGAUAUCCUGCAGCUCAGAGUUGCUGCGUGAGCACAGAAUCUCUAUCAGCGUUUCUUCAUCAGUCCCCAGCCCCUAAAAGAGACGUCAACAUUUUAGGGCGGAAAACCAAAAGGGGUGCAGUCUAUCAUUUGUCCACCAGAGGGCAGGGUCGUCCUAUGGCUUGCUGCACAAGAGUCUACCUUGAUGGAUCCUCUGAUCUCUGAGGCGUCGAACUGGGAUGUGCUCUUCAUCAGGCCCAGGAUGACAGACUCCACAGAGCCAGAAAGUGCUCCCUUCAGGGCUGAGAUCAUGUCCUACAAGAUAAAGUUGAAGUGAAUUGUCUUUUCACGUCCUGAAAGUCAGGGCUGUCCAAACCGUUUUCACAAUGACAAAUCAAAGAAUGUGUUUGAGGCUAAAACAAGUUAUAUUCAUUUCAAGACACAAUGUCGUGUUAUUAGUAUCAACGAGGGCUGGGUACCUUUCACAUUUCAAUGAAUACGGUACCAAUUCCCAGUAUAUAAUGUUGUCUGUAAUGUUUGUCUGAUCUUG